rnacentral:rRNA from 1 species
AGCAGCCGCGGUAAUUCCAGCUCCAAUAGCGUAUAUUAAAGUUGUUGCAGUUAAAAAGCUCGUAGUUGAAUUUCGGGGUUAGUAGGUUGGUCAUGCCUCUGGUAUGUACUGGUCUCACUGAUUCCUCCUUCUUUAUGAACCGUAAUGCCAUUAAUUUGGUGUUGCGGGGAAUUUGGACUGUUACUUUGAAAAAAUUGAGUGUUCAAAGCAGGCUCACGCUUGAAUACAUUAGCAUGGAAUAACGAAAUAGGACGUUUGAUUUUAUUUUGUUGGUUUCUAGGAUCGACGUAAUGAUUAAUAGGGAUAGUUGGGGGCAUUAGUAUUCAAUUGUCAGAGGUGAAAUUCUUGGAUUUAUUGAAGCUAACUACUGCGAAAGCAUUUGCCAAGGAUGUUUUCAUUAAUCAAGAACGAAAGUUAGGGAUCGAAGACGAUCAGAUACCGUCGUAGUCUUAACCAUAAACUAUGCCGACUAGGGAUCGGAUGAUGUUAAUUUUUUAUGACUCAUUCGGCGCCUUACGGG